rnacentral:siRNA from 1 species
ACCUCAUCAGCUCUGUGGCGGCCA